AACGAACGUUGGCGGCGUGGAUUAGGCAUGCAAGUCGAACGAAGACGGGGUAGCAAUAUCCCGGACUGAGUGGCGAAAGGGGCAGUAAAGCGUGGGUAACCUACCCUGGGGACCGGGAUAGCCUUUCUAACGAGAGGGUAAUACCGGGCGACGUAGCGAGGGGCAUCUUCUUGCUACCAAAUGAAUUUCGCCCUGGGAGGGGCUCACGUGCUAUUAGCUUGUUGGCGGGGUAACGGCCCACCAAGGCUGAGANGGCUAGCAGGUGUGAGAGCACGACCUGCGCCACUGGCACUGAGACACUGGCCAGACUCCUACGGGAGGCUGCAGUCGAGGAUCUUUGGCAAUGGGCGCAAGCCUGACCAAGCGACGCCGCGUGCGCGAUGAAGGCC
rnacentral:rRNA from 1 species